rnacentral:rRNA from 1 species
AUUGAACGCUGGCGGCAGGCCUAACACAUGCAAGUCGAACGGCAGCACAGAAGAGCUUGCUCUUUGGGUGGCGAGUGGCGGACGGGUGAGUAAUGUCUGGGAAACUGCCCGAUGGAGGGGGAUAACUACUGGAAACGGUAGCUAAUACUGCAUAACGUCGCAAGACCAAAGUGGGGGACCUUCGGGCCUCACACCAUCGGAUGUGCCCAGAUGGGAUUAGCUAGUAGGUGGGGUAAUGGCUCACCUAGGCGACGAUCCCUAGCUGGUCUGAGAGGAUGACCAGCCACACUGGAGCUACGACACGGUCCAGACUCCUACGGGAGGCAGCAGUGGGGAAUACUGCACAAUGGGCGCAAGCCUGAUGCAGCCAUGCCGCGUGUAUGAAGAAGGCCUUCGGGUUGUAAAGUACUUUCAGCGGGGAGGAAGGCGGUGAGGUUAAUAACCUCGCCGAUUGACGUUACCCGCAGAAGAAGCACCGGCUAACUCCGUGCCAGCCGCCGCGGUAA